rnacentral:rRNA from 1 species
UGAGGAAGUAUUGCACAAUGGGGGAAACCCGUGAUGCAGCAACGCCGCGUGGAGGAUGACGCAUUUCGGUGUGUAAACUCCUUUUAUGAGUCAAGAAAAUGACGGUAGCUCAUGAAUAAGCACCGGCUAACUCCGUGCCAGCAGCCGCGGUAAUACGGAGGGUGCAAGCGUUACUCGGAAUCACUGGGCGUAAAGGACACGUAGGCGGGUUGGAAAGUCAGAUGUGAAAUCCUACAGCUUAACUGUAGAACUGCAUUUGAAACUUCCAACCUAGAGUAUGGGAGGGGGAGAUGGAAUUAGUGGUGUAGGGGUAAAAUCCGUAGAUAUCACUAGGAAUACCUAAAGCGAAGGCGAUCUCCUGGAACAUUACUGACGCUAAGGUGUGAAAGCGUGGGGAGCAAACG